GACGAACGCUGGCGGCGCGCCUAAUGCAUGCAAGUCGAGCGACGCAUAUUCGAUGGGUAACCACUGGGUAUGACGGAGCGGCGAACGGGUGAGUAACACGUGAGUAACCUGCCCCGAAGAUCGGGAUAGCUCGGGGAAACUCGGAUUAAUACCGAAUACCCUCUCUGGAUCGCAUGAUCCGAUGAGGAAAUGCCUUUGUGCUUCGGGAUGGACUCGCGGCCUAUCAGCUAGUUGGUGAGGUAACGGCUCACCAAGGCAACGACGGGUAGCUGGUCUGAGAGGACGAUCAGCCACACUGGGACUGAGACACGGCCCAGACUCCUACGGGAGGCAGCAGCAGGGAAUCUUGUCCAAUGGGCGAAAGCCUGAGACAGCGACGCCGCGUGAGGGAUGAAGGCCUUCGGGUUGUAAACCUCUUUCAGGAGGGACGAAAUUGACGGUACCUCCAGAAGAAGCCCCGGCCAACUACGUG
rnacentral:rRNA from 1 species